GCACUCACUUCAGCAGCACAUAUACUAAAAUUGGAACAGUACAUAGGGGAUUAGCAUGGCCCCUGUGCAAGGGUGACACACAAAUUUGUGAAGCAGCCCAUAUUUUU
rnacentral:snRNA from 1 species